CGAGGGUCCAAGUCGAUUUUGAGCUGACUCAAUUCCCAUUCUAUUAUUAUGAACAAAGGCAUUGGUGGUGGAACUGGCCCCACUGCAGCGGCUGCGGCAGCGGCAGCUCAGAAACAGAAACUGCUUCUCCAGAGAGUGGAAACCGAUAUAGCCAACAUUGUCGACAAUUUCACUCACCUUGUCAACGUCUCUAGGGUGAACGAUCCACCUGUUAG
rnacentral:misc_RNA from 1 species